rnacentral:rRNA from 1 species
AGAGUUUGAUCCUGGCUCAGGAAGAACGCUAGCGGCAGGCCUUAUACAUGCAAGUCGAGGGGCAGCAUUUACUUCGGUAAAUGGCGACCCGGCGCACGGGUGAGUAACGCGUAUGCAACCUACCUUUAACUGGGGCAUAGCUCGAGGAAACUCGAAUUAAUUCCCCAUAGUACAUUAUAAUAUCUCAUGAUAUAAAUGUUAAAGAUUUAUCGGUUAAAGAUGGGCAUGCGUCUGAUUAGUUUGUUGGUAAGGUAACGGCUUACCAAGACUACGAUCAGUAGGGGGUCUGAGAGGAUGAUCCCCCACACUGGUACUGAGACACGGACCAGACAUCUACGGAUGGCAGCAGUAAGGAAUAUUGGGCAAUGGGCGCAAGCCUGACCCAGCCAUGCCGCGUGCAGGAUGACGACCCUAUGGGUUGUAAACUGCUUUUAUAUAGGAAGAAAAUACUCUUGUGAGAGGAUCUGACGGUACUAUAUGAAUAAGGACCGGCUAACUCCGUGCCAGCAGCCGCGGUAAUACGGAGGGUUCAAGCGUUUUCCGGAUUUAUUGGGUUUAAAGAGUGCGUAGGUGGUUUAUUAAGUCAGUGGUGAAAUCCUGCAGCUCAACUGUAGAACUGCCAUUGAUACUGGUAAACUUGAGUUUGGUUUAGGUAAGCGGAAUUUAUGAUGUAGCGGUGAAAUGCAUAGAUAUCAUAAGGAACACCAAUAGCGAAGGCAGCUUACUGGACCACAACUGACACUGAGGCACGAAAGCGUGGGUAGCGAACAGGAUUAGAUACCCUGGUAGUCCACGCCGUAAACGAUGCUCACUCGAUGUUAGCGAUAUACUGUUAGCGUCCAAGCUAAAGCGUUAAGUGAGCCACCUGGGGAGUACGCCGGCAACGGUGAAACUCAAAGGAAUUGACGGGGGUCCGCACAAGCGGUGGAGCAUGUGGUUUAAUUCGAUAAUAC